CUUUAAGAGACUUGAGAGUACGCUGACAUCGAGUAUGACAUCUGUUACCGAUUUUAUGUCAAGAUUAUGUGAGGAUAGAUCGAGCAAUAGGGAUACUGAAAUUACUAAUCGUUCUUUUCCAGCUCCCCUGCCUGUUCCAGAAUCAGCCCUAACCGGUGCUGGGGGUUAUGGGGAUCCGCAAGCCCACGGGCAGGAUCCGCCGUCCCCCCUGGCGCGGAGCAGGCAGUGUUGGCAGCAGAUUCCCCUUCCCUCGAUGUGUAAGUUCUCAGGAUGAUAAAA